rnacentral:rRNA from 1 species
GACGAACGCUGGCGGCGUGCUUAACACAUGCAAGUCGAACGGAAAGGCCCUGCUUUUGUGGGGUGCUCGAGUGGCGAACGGGGGAGGAACACGUGAGUAACCGGCCCUUGACUUUGGGAGAACUUCAGGAAACGGGGGCUAAUACCGGAUAGGAGCUCCUGCUGCAGGGUGGGGGUGGGAAAGUUUCGGCGGUUGGGGAUGGACUCGCGGCUGAUCAGCUUGUUGGUGGGGGAGUGGCUUACCAAGGCUUUGACGGGUAGCCGGCCUGAGAGGGUGACCGGCCACAUUGGGCCUGAGAUACGGCCCAGACUCCUACGGGAGGCAGCAGUGGGGAAUAUUGCACAAUGGGCGGAAGCCUGAUGCAGCAACGCCGCGUGCGGGAUGCCGGCCUUCGGGUUGUAAACCGCAUUCGCCUGUGACGACGCGUGAGUGACGGUAAUGGGUAAAGAAGCACCGGCUAACUACGUG